GAAAUGCGAUAAGUAAUGUGAAUUGCAGAAUUCAGUGAAUCAUCGAAUCUUUGAACGCACCUUGCGCUCCUUGGUAUUCCUUGGAGCAUGCCUGUUUGAGUAUCAUGAAAUCUUCAACGUACAUCUUUUGUUAACUCAAUUGGUUUCUACUUUGGUAUUGGAGGUCUUUGCAGCUUCACACCUGCUCCUCUUUGUUCAUUAGCUGGAUCUCAGUGUUAUGCUUGGUUCCACUCGGCGUGAUAAGUUAUCUAUCGCUGAGGACACUGUAAAAGGUGGCCAAGGUAAAUGCAGAUGAACCGCUUCUAAUAGUCCAUUGACUUGGACAAUACUUUUAUGAUCUGAUCUCAAAUCAGGUAGGACUACCCGCUGAACUUAAGC
rnacentral:misc_RNA from 1 species